AAAAAUUUACUAGUUUUCGAAAAAUCAAUUAAUCGUAUUGUUUAAGAAAAAUCGACUUUUCAAAAUUAUGGAGUCGCCACUUGAUUUUUGAUAAAAUCAAGAAAAAAUUUAAAAUUGUCAAAAGAUUCAAAACUGAUAAAAUCAAUUGAAAAAGGUUCGAAGUUCAAUGUACAUCCUGAGAAGGUUUUAGGCCCUUGGGAUGCCCGCUAACUCGCGGUUGACCAGCGAUUUGACUAAAUGACUAUUAAAAUAAAAAUUUUAACUAAGUAAAAAAGAAAUUUGUUUUAAUAUUUUUUAUUUCAUUAUUAUUAUUUUUAUUUAUUUGUAAAGGUUGAGGGAAAUAAUUCAAGGAAAACUAAAUUGUGAUAAAAGUAAGUAAAACAACAAUAGGAAAAUUUAAAUAAUGAAAAAUGGCUACCCCUUAGAAGAUUAUUAAAAUUCUACCAAGAUAUUAAAUAAUUCAAACAAAUAAAUAAUAGAUAAAGAAAUAUUUGAACUUGGGCUUGAUUGCCCAAAUUCUUUCAUUUGGGCUUUGGCCCACCUGUCAUAAACUAAUCCUUAUACUUGGGCCUUCUUUAAAACCUACAGAAACAAAUGACCUUUGGGCCUGUUAAAUAAAAGGGGGGCUGAAGGGCCCUGGCCCAAUUCCCUGAAAAGAGACAUAAAGUAUACAAAUGUAUACAUGCUGUAUACAGCAUAUAUCUGACCCAUUUGGACCUCUUGAGCCCUGCACCUUUUGAAUAUAUAUUUACCGUUACUUUUCCCUGUAUUACCCCGCGUAUUUAUACCUGUAUCAUUUUUUAAAAACUUACUUAACAAGUGUAUAUCGUCGCCCGAUAAUGUAUACUAAUGUAUACGGGCUGCACCCUAUGUCUGCAUUGUUUGCCUAAUUCCGAAUUUUAAUUAGAAUAGACGUCCCUCUACGUUCCCCUACCAAUCAUAUUUUUUAAGCAUAUAUAUAGUAUAUCGUCUCAGUAUAUCUUUGUAUACAGGUUGUAUAUCAACCUGUUUUUCAACUUUCGACAGCUGAAAAAUUAUUUCCAGAAGUAUGUCCUCACUGUUAUCAACCUGUAUUUCGAAUUUUGUCCCCUGUACGUUUUUUUGACCUUUAUACUGAUGUAUAAAGUAUGUAUACAGCUGCUAUACAGCUACAUCAACACCUGCCAAUACAUUUUACAGCCCUUUUCUAGGUUUUGAUGAACCUGCAGUUAAUUUCCAGCAACUCGUUUGAUAUAUUUUAGCCUGUACGCCAGUUUUGAGGGGGUCUACGACUCAAGGAUGACAGUUCAAGCCUUUACGGCUCAAUGAGAAAGUGCAACGAGAUGGGUUAAAGUCCAUGAGGACUCGAGGAGAUUUCACAUGCAAUAAAACCAAAAAAAAAUUAGCACCUUAAGCGAUAAGCUAAUAGAAUUCGUCUUAAACAAAACGGUAAUAGAAGAUGUGAGCUAUUUUAGAGAUAAUGAGUUAGGAAAGGGGUACAAAAUCUCAACACACAUCUCAUAUGCAGGCAACACAGGGGACUCCUCAUGCAUGCAGCACUAUUCAAAUGUUCAAAAGAAUAAAAUGAAAGUCAUCAUAUGUCAAGGUUCAUUAGUGAUAAACUUGAGGCUAUGUGAAUCAUUUCAAACCCAAUGACAACAACACGACAAUGAGCAAUAAAUAUACUGUAGACCAAACACUGAGGAGAAUUGAUCCCUUUAUAUCAUUCAAGCCAUUUAAUGCACAUAAAGGGAAUAUAUGCAGAAGCCAUUGAUAACAAAAAUCACGUCAAAGAAAAGGCCUACCCGUAAGACAAAGUCUAGAAUCCUCCUCCAAAAUGGUCAUAAUUCGAACACAUAAAUGUUUCUAACCCCUUAGGACAACUAAGAAUACGAUAAAGAAAAAGUCACCGACAUAUACUCGAAUAAAACUCGAUUAGAAACCUAGCUAUAACGUACUCAAGACAAGCGAAUACGGAGGUUGUCUGACAAACAAGACGAGAACUCGUCCGAGCUUACACAUUCACAACCAAAUAUGACCGAAGGAUCUAGUGUAUAUAUCAAUCUAAGCAACACAUUAUACUACCUACAAGUUCAUCCAAGCCUGAAUGAACAACUCGAGCGAGAGGGACAACAUGAACAAGCUUAAGACGAGGUAAGCGAAACAAGAGAAGACUAUACUUCAAACAUACACCUACAUUUCAGUUUCAUAACUGGCAGCAGCAACAGAACUUUAAAACGCCACCAGAAGCCAUUUUAAAACAAAAAAAAAUGAUAAAGUCGUGUCAAGCGGUAGGGGUUACCUGUUUUAGAGCAGCCAACUGGAACAACAAAUAACGCUGAGGUCUUCCACCACAACACUCAAACUCAAAAGGCGAUAUAGAGCUCCUUGUAGGUAGCGAUAGGACAGGGACGAACGUCUCAAUGGUUUCAAGAAACUAUCUCAAAACACUUAUAUACAGUGAUAUGGCUUGAAGCUUGUGGCCAUAUUCCUCUGUAACCUUUUCUCUUUACUCCCUUUUUAUCUAUAUUUUCUUUCUUUCCCUGUUUAUUUUCCUUUUUUUCUAUUUUUCCUCCUUUCUUCUUUCUCUCUCUUUUCUUCUUUCUCUCCACCAACCCCCUAACAAUAAAGAAGAUGGGGAUUAUUUAUAAGUCAAAUUAUGGCAAAAAGAGUGGGAAAUUUGUUUAGAAUUUGAAUUUUGAAUUUUGAAUUUUGAAUUUUAAAAUGGGUAAGGUUGGAGGGAAAGGGAAAAAGGGAAUUGGGUUGGAAAUUAAUUAAAACGGAAUGGGCCAUGUAAUUGGGCUUGGGUGUCUUAAAAUAAAGUGGGCCUGGAAGGGAAUGAGGUGGGCUGGAAAUUUAUUAGGCUUGGGGUUUGGGAGAAGUGUUGGGUUGCUGAAGUGGGCUGGGAGAAGAAGAAAUAAAAAUGGGCCUGGAAAUUAAAGGGAGUGUGUAAAUGGCCCAAAACUAAGAUCUUUUGGUGGAUUUUAUGAAUGGGUUAAAUUUGAUAAAUAGCCAAAUUGAGUUAAGAUAAUAAAUUCGGCUAAACCUUAAAUAAAACAAAUUUGUAUUAAUUAAUCAACGAGCUUCUUUAAUUUAGUAAUAUAAUUAUUUAAAUUAUAAAAUAGUGGUUCAAAAUAUAACCUUAAUUUAAACUAUAUUAGCUAAAUAGAAUACUUACUAAAAUUAAAAUAUUUUUGAGAUGGUUUUUUGAAUAAUCAUAAAAUAUACUAAUUAUAUACAUAAUUAUGUAAAAUAUAUAUAUAUUAUUCAAAAGUUAUAAGAAAUGACAAAACUAUUCAAAAUAACACAAACUUUAUUUUUUUUCUUAAAAAUUUAUAAAACUAAUUAUUUUAAAUUGCUUGGAAAAUUUAAGAAGCUCAUGAAUUAAUUUCUAUCGGAGAUGGUCAAAAUUGGGUGUCAACAGUUGUGCCUCAUUUUACUUGGAUUGAUGCAAGCAAUUCGAGGAAAAUGAAAUUGACCAAGCCAAUUUUUACCAACCUCAUUCAUCUUUAAGAGAAGGAUUUGGCAAAGGGUUGAGGAAUUAUGGCCGAACCCUUGAAACGGUUUCCUAUAUAUCUAUGGCUAUAUGAGAAUUCAGGCCACUUGUAUUUCGAUAAGCUUGAUUUAACGCACGAUUUUGAAAAAAUUCAAAAACCACCUCGAUACCGAAUUAUGAAGGUCUCGAAAUGCUCGAGAAUAAAAUUAGAGAGCGAAUGUUGGAAUACAGCCGAGUUUUCAACAUUUAAUCCACCUACAUAUCCUUAAACCUUCAGGAAUCAGGCUGUGUGUAGUUCGACUCGAUCGGUUGAAAAGGAAAUCUAUUAUGCUAGAUAACCUUCUGUUUCAGACAAGUGACAAAUUAAAUGAGUAUGAAAAAGAGGCUUCUAACCUCUUAGCCAUGAAUGUGACACGCUUCACACCCAUAAUUAAGAUCUUACACGGACAUAAUUUCCAAAGCUCUUGGCGCAUUGUCACUCAGAUUAAAAACUUGCUUCCGGUAAAUCGAAAUUUUUGGAUGCGAGACUGAAACUGACAAAACUAAAGAAAAACCCUCAUGCCUUAAGAUCGGGGUGUUCGAUUGUAGUGGAAGUCGCUCCUCUUCUCGCGUCCUAAGAGUUUGACAUUCCUCUUUGGACUGUGUCCCAGUUCGCUGCUAAGAAAAAGUUCCACGUUGUGCUGCAUCCUUUUUGAUGUCGUCCGCACCUGUGUUUUUUUUUUUGAGAAUUCAUCCUUUUGGAUGCUCUCGACAAAGAUUGAGAUAAAAAUCGUCAGCUUAAAAAUGCAAUUAGGAUGAGAGACAGUGUCUUUUUUACCGUGCCGACACUUCAUUGUUCUCCUCAAAUCCACGUCGACUCGAUUGGUCUGACGUCCAGCAAAUAAAGCUUAUGCCUUGUGUUUUGCAAUAAAAUCUUCAAUACUCUUCAUUUGAUGCUAAAAUAAACAAAUAGACGUUGAUGCGAUGUUGAUGUUUCUUUUGUCGUCAUCUUCGAUGCUCUUCUUGAUGUUUAUUUUUCUUUUCUUUUCUUUUCUUUUUUUCUUUUUCAAAAAUAAAGGAUGCAGUUGAGGCUGAUGGAUAAAUAUUGCUCUUGGGAUACACGAUUUCCAUUUCUUUAUCCAUGUAUAUCCUCUUGCGGGUCAUGAAUAUCUUCCCGCGAUACGUAAAUUCCUGCGAGGUAUGAAGUCCUCUCGCAAUGCAUAACUUUCAGCGAGGUAUGAAAUCUUCUCGCGAUGUGAAAAUUUCAAUGCGGCAUGGAUUCUUCUCAUGCUGCAUAAAUUUUGGCGAGGUAUGAACUCUUCUCGCGAUGUCUAAAUUUCAACGAGGUAUAAAGUCUUCCCGCGAUGUAUAAAUUUCAAAUUCGCGAUGCAUGAUUUUCAACGAGGCAUGGAUUCUUCUCGUGAUGCAUUAAAUCCAACGAGGUAUGAAGCCUUCUCGCGAUAUAUCAAUUUUGACGAGGCAUGAAAUCUUCUCGUCGUGCAUAAAUUCAAGCGAGGUAUAAAGUCUUCUCGCGAUAUAUAAAUUUGACGAGGCAAUAAAUCUUCUCGUCGUGCAUAAAUUCAACCGAGGUAUGAAGUCUUCUGGCGAUAUAUAAAUUUGGCGAGGCAUGAAGUCUUCUCGUCGAGCAUAAAUUCCAGCGAGGUAUAAAGUCUUCUCGCGAUGCUUAAAUUUUGACGAGGUAUGAAAUCUUCUCGUCGUGCAUAAUUAUUGACUCGCGAUGCAUGAUUUCCUGCAAUGCAUGAUUUUCUGCGAUGCAUGAUUUCUCGUGAUGCAUGAUUUCCGCAAUGCAUGAUUUUUCGCAAUGCAUGAUUUCCGCGAUGCAUGAUUUUUCGCAAUGCAUGAUUUUCGUGAUGCAUGAUUUUCUGCGAUGCAUGAUUUUCUGCAAUGCAUGAUUUUAUGCGAGGUAUAAAGUCUUCUCGCGAUGUCCAAAUUUGACGAGGCAUGAAAUCUUCUCGUCAUGCAUAAUUAUUGACUCGCGAUGCAUGAUUUCCGCGAUGCAUGAUUUUCCGCAAUGCAUGAUUUUCCACGAUGCAUGAUUUUUCGUGAUGCAUGAUUUCCGCGAAGCAUGAUUUUUCGCAAUUCAUGAUUUCCGCGAUGCAUGAUUUUUUGCAAUGCAUGAUUUUCGUGAUGCAUGAUUUUCCGCGAUGCAUGAUUUUCCACAAUACAUGAUUUUAUGCGAGGUAUAAAGUCUUCUCGCUAUGUCCAAAUUUGACGAGGCAUGAAAUCUUCUCGUCAUGCAUAAUUAUUGACUCGCAAUGUAUGAUUUUUAACGAGGCCUGGAUGGCUCGAUAAUGUUCCAACUGUAACGAGGUGGAUGGCUCGAUAAUGUUCCACUGUAACGAGGUGGAUGUCUCGAUAAUGUUCCAACUGUAACGAGGUGGAUGGCUCGAUAAUGUUCCAACUGUAACGAGGUGGAUGGCUCGAUAAUGUUCCAACUGUAACGAGGUGGAUGGCUCGAUAAUGUUCCAACUGUAACAAGGUGGAUGGCUCGAUAAUGUUCCACUGUAACGAGGUGGAUGUCUCGAUAAUGUUCCAACUAUAACGAGGUGGACGGCUCGAUAAUGUUCCACUGUAACGAGGUGGAUGUCUCGAUAAUGUUCCACUGUAACGAGGUGGAUGGCUCGAUAAUGUUCCAACUGUAACGAGGUGGAUGGCUCAAUAAUAGUCCAACUUUAACGAGGUGGGCGGCUCGAUAAUAUUCCUGCAAGAUAAAAAGAAACUUGUUUAGAAAUCACUUGAGGCAAUAUAAAGGAAUAGAGAUAAAUAAGGUGGAAGAUUUUCUAGGUUUUGUUGAGGAGUCCACGAUGGGUGCAAAUGAAGCCUUUUGUCAUUCUUGACAACUUUACAUAGCCAUUUUUGUGACUUCAAUAUUCCUGCAUCCAAAGAAAAAUUCUUAGUUUGAAAGACUGAUUUGUGUUGGUUUUGUCUCCAUGCUCCUUCUUGCAGUUGGCUUGCACGCUCGCCCAUUCUUUAUAUGACAUAUUUGAUGGUAUUUUUUUGAGGACCGUCCUCAAAAUUUUGUCCCGGUCUAAAAUAUAUAAGAACUCUCAUAACUUGCUCUGUUAACUCUGAGGUUGCUCAUUCUGGAAUUUUGAGGCCCCUUCUCAAAAUUUUGUCCCAGUUUAUCUCAAUAAGUAAAAAAUGACAUUUGUGGAAUUUUUGAUGAUCUCAAAAAUUCUGUCCCAGUUGCAAGCUAGAUUGUCGUAAUUUUUGAGAUCCACCCAAGGCUAAUCUCCGUAGAAUUUUGGUCUUCUGUUUUGACUUUGUUAAAAAAGUCCAACUUACAAUGAAUUUUUGAGAUCCUCUCAAAAUUAUGUCCCAGUUUCCAUUAUGAAGAGAAAUGGAAAUCUUCUGGGUAUAUGACCAAGCCGUUGUGGUGCCUACGUAUCCCGUUGGAGCAGGAAUCAGGUCAAACAUAGUUCAGACCAUAGAAUUUUGGUCUUCUGUUUUGACUCGUUAAAGAAGUCCAACUUCCAAUGCAUUUUUGAGAUCCUCUCAAAAAUUCUGUCCCAGUUUCCAUAUUGAUGAGAAAUGGAAAUCUUACUGGGCAUUGUGACCGAGCCGUUGUGGCGCCUAUGUAUCCCGUUGGAUCAGGAAUCAUGUCAAACGUAGUUUCCCUCGCAAAGGUUAACCAAAAUAGGAAGUUUUGAUAAUAAAACGACCGAGGCCGACAUAGGCCGCCUACGUAUCUCAUUCUUGAGAAUUCAGGUCGAACGUAGUUCCAACAAAGAAAAGUGUGAUACAUUUUCAAAAGAAAGGUAACAAAACUUCAUAUGCAAUGUUUGGCCAAUGUUGGGCAUUCUUCUUCUCGAAUGAAUAUCUUCAAAUGACUCUGUUCAGAAAUGUCUUGUACUUACUCUUGAGCAUCCAAUAUGUCAUCCAUUCAGGUGUUUUCCUCAAUAUUGAUCAAGUUGUUGUUGAUCAUGUUUUGUAUCUUGUGCUUCAGAUUUGAACAAUUUUCUGUGUCAUGUCCAACGGCUCCUGAGUGAUAAGCACAUCUGUGGUCAGCUCUGUAAAAUUUUCCCAGAGGAUUGGCCGGUCUUCCUUAUAUAGGAUAGAGCAUGCCCAUUGCUUUAAACCUUUCAUAAAGUUGAGUUUGACAUUCCCUUGAUGAUGUAAAUACUUUAGGAGCCUUUCUGAAUUUUGGGCGAGGAAAUUUUUCCUGAUUGACAUUAUGGUUUUGGUAUUUCCUUUGAGAAGCUGACCACAUAUGAGUAGCCGCGAUCAUACUUACCUCCUCCACCUUUCCUUUUGACUUAUCCAUAUUAGUAAUUCUGGUAGAUUUUCCAUUAGAUUUCUAUAUGGUAAGUUUGGUGCUCUUUCCAGUCUUGAAACCAUCUUCCAAAGCUUCUCCCACUUUGGCAAUCUUGACAAACUUUUGUCCCAUCAUACACACCAUUCUUUCAUAGUUCUCAGGCUCUUGAGUACGAAUGAACAUUUCAGUGAUCUCACGUUCAGACAUGGGAGGUUGAACUCUUGCAGCCUCUUUUCUCCAGCGAAAAGCGUACUCUCGAUAAUUUUCUGUAGACUUCUGUUUGAUCUUCUCCAAGUAGUAGUGAUCUGGAGCAUCUUCUACGUUAUGUCCAAAUCUCUCCGUGAAAUCCUUUGCGAGUGCAUUCCAACUUUUCCAUUGUUUCAGCUCCUGUGAUGCGAGCCACUCCAGAGCUUCUCCACUUAGACUCCGACCGAAGAGACGCAUCAAUAAUGCUUUGUUUUUGCCAACUCCCACGAGUUGAUCACAAUAAACUUUCAGAUGUGCUAGAGGAUUUCCUGUUCCGUUAAAAGUGACCAACUUUGGCACUUUGAACCCUUCUGGGAGGUCGAGAUUCGGAUGGAUGCAUAAAUCCUUAUAGCUCAAUCCAUCGACUUCGGAAAAAUAGUGCAACUCCUUCAUGGCUUUCCUGACCUCUUCUUUCAUAUUCACCUUGUCUGCUUCUCCUCUUGACCUCCACUCUCUCUCUCUUGUUCCUUAUAGUGAUCAAGCUCGAAAUCGUCGGCAUAAGGUUCAUUUGAAGUUGGGAUUUGGAAUGUAGUCUUUUGAGGUAUAGGUGGAGCAAUGGAAGGAUUCUGGGUAUUUUGAGAGGCUUGAUAAUUUUGGGGGAAAGUUUGAGGAUCGGGAUUGUGGUUUUGUAAAUGGGGGAAGGUUUGAGCAUUGUUCGCAUUUUGGUUUUGAGGGAGAUGGAGGAUUUGAAGGUUGGUAUUUUGAGGAUGGUGUGGUGCUUGACACGAUGUGGCGUGACAAGGAUUGGGGGUAGUUAAGUCAAUGGUUGGAGGAUUUUGAGUGGGGUUAGAGGGAAGAUUUUGAACUUGUUCCGUGCUUGAGGAUGGAAAGUGGAGUGGAGGUCUUCCAUCUCUUUGAGGGUUGAAAGAUGAAACUGGAUUAGACCCAUCUUGCAUUCUUUGCAUUUCGACCCUCAUUUCGGCAAUCUGUUGCAUCAACUGCAUAAUCAAUUAAUUUUGUCAGCGGCGACGGGUUGAGCCACAGCAACAUCGUCCCUGUCAAUCUCAUCAUUGUUAUCCCCCAUUGUUGUCUUUUCUCUUUGCAAAUUUGAUCGGGGAAGGAAUCUUUGGGGCCUUAGACCUCGAAUGUGAACCAACUUACCAACACAGAUCAGUUUUAAAUACCUUUCAAUGGAAAAAACUCAAAAGACCAAUAUAUUAGUGCCUGGAGGUGGUAAAUAAUACAAGAUAUCACAUAUGGGUGAAAACAUAUAAGAGUUUGCUUUAUCCGGAGAUAAACUUGCUCACCAAUAUAAAGAAAUAGUUAAAUAGACAUGAAUUUGUCUACUUGACUUUGGGAUUAGCGAAUAAAAUGUCGACUAGAGUCGAAACAAAAUUGACGGUAUAUUUUAUUACCGUAAUUUGAUUUUGAUUGAGAUGUAACUCUAAUUUCCUUGCAAGAGUUGGAAAAGAUAAAAUUUCUCAAAUUUUUUUUUUAUUUGAAAUACUGAAUCUUUUUCAGAUAUUAGAGUAGUAGUUUUUUUUUUUAGGAAACUAAAGACUUGAAGAAUAUUUGGACGCACUUUGGAUAGUGACUUGAUAUUUGUGCUUAUGGGUCCUAAAAGUAUUUGAAGAAGAGUGAGUUAGAAUAUCUCCGGAUAAAACAACAUAUUUACAUAAGGAGUUAUAACACAAAGACAAAUAUUGCGCGUUCUAAACAGAUAUGUGACCCUUUUCUGCCAAGGGUGGGCCUAGCUAUUUGAGGGAUGUAUACGUCCCUCAAAUUUAAACACACAAGUAUGAACGUCCAUUCAGGCCGUGGACCGUUUUGGACUCAAGGUGGUCUUCUAAUGGGCCCAACGCGCCUUGGGUGUUGGGUCGUCCUAGGCCAACGCGCUAUUUUUUUUGGGAUUUGGGUUUCGCUCUAUCCUAGUUUGACUAAGAGUGGCUUUUGAAAUGACCGGGAACCCAAAUGGACAAUUUGGGCUAAAACUCGCGACAACCAUUGGACGCCUAACAAACCAAUAAAUUGCCACUAAUUUCAAAACAGGGUGAGUAUAAAAAAGUCCGGCUGCGGUUCCGCAAACCGUCCUUUUAUAUACUAUACAUAUAUAUUGGAAAUAUGUUAUGAAUGCAAUGACAAUUUAUGAAAAAUUUAAACCUAUUCAGUACAAAUAAUAUUUUAACAAUUAAAAGAAGUUAGUCAAACAGUCAAAUCUUAUGGUUAGAACUUAAUUAAUCCCCAGCGGAGUCGCCAUUUCUGUUUUAUUUUAAAAAAAUACUACUAACUAUUUUUGAUUUAAAAAUGGAAAAAUUGACUAGGUUUCGAAAAAUCAAUUAAUCUUAUUGUUUAAGAAAAAUCGACUUUUCAAAAUUAUGGAGUCGCCACUUGAUUUUUGAUAAAAUCAAGAAAAAAUUUAAAAUUGUCAAAAGAUUCAAAACAGAUAAAAUCAAUUAAAAAAGGUUCGAAGUUCAAUGUACAUCCCGAGAAGGUGUUAGGCCCUCGGGAUGCCCGCUAACUCGCGGUUGACCGGCGAUUUGACUAAAUGACUAUUAAAAUAAAAAUUUUAACUAAGUAAAAAGAAAUUUGUUUUAAUAUUUUUUAUUUCAUUAUUAUUAAUUUUAUUUAUUUCUAAAGGUUGAGGGAAUUAAUUUAAGGAAAACUAAAUUGUGAUAAAAGUAAGUAAAACAACAAUAGUAAAAUUUAAAUAAUGAAAAUGGCUACCCCUUAGAAGAUUAUUAAAAUUCUACCAAGAUAUUAAAUAAUUCAAACAAAUAAAUAAUAGAGAAAGAAAUAUUUGAACUUGGGCUUGAUUGCCCAAAUUCUUUCAUUUGGGCUUUGGCCCACCUGUCAUAAACUAAUCCUUAUACUUGGGCCUUCUUUAAAACCUGCAGAAACAAAUGACCUUUGGGCCUGUUAAAUAAAAGGGGGGCUGAAGGGCCCUGGCCCAAUUCCCUGAAAAGAGACAUAAAGUAUACAAAUGUAUACAUGUUGUAUACAACAUAUAUCUGACCCAUUUGGACCUCUUGAGCCCUGCACCUUUUGAAUAUAUAUUUACCGUUACUUUUCCCUGAAUUCCCCUGCGUAUUUAUACCUGUAUCAUUUAUUAAAAACUUACUUAACAAGUGUAUAUCGUCUCCCGAUAAUGUAUACUAAUGUAUACGGGAUGCACCCUAUGUCCGCAUUGUUUGCCUAAUUCCGAAUUUUAAUUAGAAUACACGUCCCUCUACGUUCCCCUACCAAUCAUAUUUUUUAAGCAUAUAUAUAGUAUAUCGUCUAAGUAUAUCUGUGUAUACAGGUUGUAUAUCAACCUGUUUUUCAACUUUCGACAGCUGAAAAAUUAUUUCCAGAAGUAUGUCCUCACUGUUAUCAACCUGUAUUUCUAAUUUGGUCCCCUGUACGUUUUUUUGACCUUUAUACUGAUGUAUAAAGUAUGUAUACAGCUGCUAUACAGCUACAUCAACACCUGCCAAUACAUUUUACAGCCCCUUUCCAGGUUUUGAUGAACCUGCAGUUAAUUUCCAGCAACUCGUUUGAUAUAUUUUAGCCUGUACGCCAGUUUUGAGGGGGUCUACAACUCAAGGAUGACAGUUCAAGCCUUUACGGCCCAAUGAGAAAGUGCAACGAGAUGGGUUAAAGUCUAUGAGGACUCGAGGAGAUUUCACAUGCAAUAAAACCAAAAAAAAGAAUUAGCACCUUAAGCGAUAAGCUAAUAGAAUGCGUCUUAAACAAAACGGUAAUAGAAGAUGUGAGCUAUUUUAGAGAUAAUGAGUUAGGAAAGGGGUACAAAAUGUAAACACAUAUCUCAUAUGAAGGCAACACAGGGGACUCCUCAUGCAUGCAGCACUAUUCAAAUAUUCAAAAGAAUAAAAUGAAAGUCAUCAUAUGUCAAGGUUCAUUAGUGAUAAACUUGAGGCUAUGUGAAUCAUUUCAAACCCAAUGACAACAACACGACAGUGAGCAAUAAAUAUAUUGUAGACCAAACACAGAGGAGAAUUGAUCCCUUUCUAUCAUUCAAGGCAUUUAAUGCACAUAAAGGGCAUAUAUGCAGAAGCCAUUGAUAACCAAAAUCACGUCAAAGAAAAGGCCUACCCGUAAGACAAAGUCUAAAAUCCUCCUCCAAAAUGGUCAUAAUUCGAACACAUAAAUGUUUCUAACUCUUUAGGACAACUAAGAAUACGAUAAAGAAAAAGUCACCGACAUAUACUCGAAUAAAACUCGAUUAGAAACCUAGCUAUAACGUACUCAAGACAAGCGAAUACGGAGGUUGUCUGACAAACAAGACGAGAACUCGUCCGAGCUCACACAUUCACAACCAAAUAUGACCGAAGGAUCUAGUGUCUAUAUCAAUCUAAGCAACAAAUUAUACUACCUACAAGUUCAUCCAAGCCUGAAUGAACAACUCGAGCGAGAGGGACAACAUGAACAAGCUUAAGACGAGGUAAGCGAAACAAGAGAAGACUAUACUUCAAACAUACACCUACAUUUCAGUUUCAUAACUGGCAGCAGCAACAGAACUUUAAAACGCCAGCAGAAGCCAUUUCAAAACAAAAAAAAAUGAGAAAGUCGUGUCAAGCGGUAAGGGUUACCUGUUUUAGAGCAGCCAACUGGAACAACAAAUAACGCUGAGGUCUUCCUCCACAACACUCAAACUCAAAAGGCGAUAUAGAGCUCCUUGUAGGUAGAGAUAGGACAGGGACGAACGUCUCUAUGGUUUCAAGAAACUAUCUCAAAAUACUUAUAUACAGUGAUAUGGCUGGAAGCUUGUGGCCAUAUUCCUCUGUAACCUUUUCUCUUUACUCCCUUUUUAUCUAUAUUUUCUUUCUUUCCCUGUUUCUUUUCCUUUUUUUCUAUUUUUCCUCCUUUCUUCUUUCUCUCUCUUUUCUUCUUUCUCUCCACCAACCCCCUAACAAUAAAGAAGAUGGGGAUUGUUUAUAAGCCAAAUUUUGACAAAAAGAGUGGGAAAU
rnacentral:lncRNA from 1 species